AUUGAACGCUGGCGGCAGGCCUAACACAUGCAAGUCGAGCGGAGCGGCGGACGGGGGCGUAAGGCCAAGGAAUGGGCCUGGUGGUGGUGGAGAACGUCAGGAAACGGGCGCUAAUACCGAAUACUAUCAGAUGAGCCUAGGUCGGAUUAGUUAGUUGGUGGGGUAAAGGCCUACCAAGGCGACGAUCCGUAACUGGUCUGAGAGGAUGAUCAGUCACACUGGAACUGAGACACGGUCCAGACUCCGACGGGAGGCAGCAGUGGGGAAUAUUGGGCAAUGGGCGAAAGCCUGAUCCAGCCAUGCCGCGUGUGUGAAGAAGGUCUUCGGAUUGUAAAGCACUUUAAGUUGGGAGGCGUUACCAACAGAAUAAGCACCGGCUAACUUCGUGCCAGCCGCCGCGGUAAUUC
rnacentral:rRNA from 1 species